rnacentral:rRNA from 1 species
CGAUUAAAGCUCCCUUCGGGGAGUGCAUAAAGUGGCGCACGGGUGAGUAACACGUAAGUAAUCUACCCUCGGGUGGGGAAUAACGUUCGGAAACGGACGCUAAUACCGCAUAAUGCAGCGGCACCGCAAGGUGACAGUUGUUAAAGAUUUAUUGCCUGGGGAGGAGCUUGCGGCAGAUUAGCUUGUUGGUAAGGUAACGGCUUACCAAGGCGACGAUCUGUAUCCGGUCUAAGAGGACGGUCGGACACACUGACACUGAAUAACGGGUCAGACUCCUACGGGAGGCAGCAGUCGGGAAUUUUGGGCAAUGGGGGAAACCCUGACCCAGCAACGCCGCGUGAAGGAUGAAGUAUUUCGGUAUGUAAACUUCGAAAGAAUAGGAAGAAUUAAUGACGGUACUAUUUAUAAGGUCCGGCUAACUACGUGCCAGCAGCCGCGGUAAUACGUAGGGACCAAGCGUUGUUCGGAUUUACUGGGCGUAAAGGGCGCGUAGGCGGCGCGGUAAGUCACUUGUGAAAUCUCUGAGCUUAACUCAGAACGGCCAAGUGAUACUGCAGUGCUAGAGUGUGGAAGGGGCAAUCGGAAUUCUUGGUGUAGCGGUGAAAUGCGUAGAUUUCAAGAGGAACACCUGAGGUGAAGACGGGGUCGCUGGGCCAACACUGACGCUGAUGCGCGAAAGGCCAGGGGAGCAAACGGGAAUUAAAUACCCCGGUAGUCCUGGCCCUAAACCGAUGAAUACUUGGUGUCUGGAGUUUUAAUGCUCCGGGUGCCGUCGCUAACGUUUUAGUAUUCCCCUGGGGGAGUCGCUCGCAAGAGUGAACUCAAAGG